UACGUAGGGGGCAAGCGUUGUCCGGAAUCAUUGGGCGUAAAGAGCGCGUAGACGGUUAUUUAAGUCGGGUGUGAAAGCCCCGGGCUCAACCUGGGAAUUGCAUUCGAGACUGAAUAGCUAGGGUACGGUAGAGGGAAGUGGAAUUUCCGGUGUAGCGGUGAAAUGCGUAGAUAUCGGAAGGAACAUCAGUGGCGAAAGCGACUUCCUGGACCAGUACCGACGUUCAGGCACGAAAGCGUGGGGAGCAAACAGG
rnacentral:rRNA from 1 species